CAUGAACACAAUUCACAAUGGCCAGAUGCAGGGCACCAACUGCCUUGAAAUGAUUGAUCUGACCAGUGCAGUUUCUGAUGACUCCCCACAAACAGAGCCUGAAACUGUUGAAGAUGUUCCAGAAUCAGACGAUACAGUUGCAUGGGAUCCGGAAGAGGAUCUAUGCGGAGCAGAUGGUGAUGAGACAGUUGUGAUAACAUGGAAUUACGUCAAAAAUGAGGAUGUCACUCAGUGAGGAGAUGAAUGGAGUACCACUGCAGGAUUUACAGCUCCCCUCGUCUUCAGAUUAUGGCCUGACUUCGGCAGAUGUACAGUCUAUACAUGAGGAAGCAGUGCAAACUGCACGGGAUUUGCUUUUAAAUUUGAGCAGCCAACUGUCCCCAUAAACCUCAGCUGAAAGCUCAGGAAAUCCAGAAAGCACGCGACAUGCAUCAAUUCACAGGACAAAGGUGGUUGAAGAUCUUUUGGCUGUAUUUAUGGACAGUAGCAUCAUUAAUUUGACUCUAAAGAUGGACUUUGUAAAUAAAAAAGCUAUUGAUGAUGCUGGAGUGUCAAGGGAGGUUUACACUGCAUUCUGGGAGCAAUUUCUUGAAACGUGUGAAGGGGAAGCAGAGCGAGUUCCAAGGCUGAGGCCAGAUUUCUGUGAGGCUGAAUGGCUAGCAGUUGGAUGGAUCUGGGUGAAAGGAUUACUGGAUCAUGGUGUCAUGCCAGUGAGGCUAUCAAAGGCUUUCAUUUUAGCCUGCAUUCAUGGAGACGACUCCGUUGAUGUAGGAAUCUUGAUGGUAUUGUUUCUCAACUACCUCUCUCCUGUUGAGAGAUCAGCCAUUGUGAAGGCUCUCCAGGGCACGGAGGAGACUGAUGAAGAGGACUUGCUCGACCUUUUCACAAGGAUGGGUUCCCAUUUCCUACCUGCAAAGAACAACAUGGAGCCUGCCAUCGAAACAAUGGCUCAUAAAGCCAUUCUCCAAGAGCCAAAGUAUAUCGUCGAUGCUUCUUGACACCAAUGGCACUGUACAGGUGAAACUGCCAGACAAGGACAGUGUUUUGUGUCUGUAUCAGAAGAAGAGUGUUCCAACUGUUGAAAGUUGUCUGUUCUCUCUGAGACAGCACCU